AUGGCGAAGGAGGAAGACCAGGAAGCCCGCUCCCAGGCUGAUAAAGGACUGCCAAGUGUGCGGGAACAGCGCCAGGUGGGCCGCAGGCCGCAGCAAGCUGUGCUGCCAGGCAGACAGAGUCAGGAUUUGUCUGUUCGUGGGAUCCAUCUUCCACCAGUGCCCCACCCGGUGAGAGCACAAGCCUCUGGGAGCCGCCGUGCACAGGCGGACAGAAUGGAAGGGAGACGGCCUCUGCCAGCCUUGCCACCUCUCCCACGGCGGGCGCAGUCACUGCCAGCUGCGCCCCGGAAUGCAGCCACUGCUCGGGGACGAGUUCACGCAUUCUCACUGCCAGCAAUAGCUUUCGGGAGUAUCCCAAGAGGCAGAGCUGCCCCUGGUCUUCAGUACCAGGAAACGGCAGUGAGGGCCGAGGGCUGGCAGGCAGAUCUAUCUGUCCCUGCACUCCCCCUCAGGCCUGCAGAGAAGACACCCGAGUCCCUCAGGCUGGCAUAUCGGAUGCGUCCAGCAGCCAUAAGAUCAGGACCCUGGCUGAAGCGAACACGGCCUGGGCGAUGUGCACCCACCAGCACUGUGAGACCAUCAGCACGAACAACCCAGGUGCUGGCCCUCAAGGCUGGGAAAGGUCCCGAGGAAGAGACACAACCUGCUGCCAGUGCUCAGGAGGGCACCGAAGAUGCUGACAGGAUUUCUACAUCAUGCUCCCUGGCAGCAGAGCAGGCAGCAGAGCAGGAAGCAGAGCAGGAAGCAGAGCAGGCAGCAGAGCAGGCAGCAGAGCAGGAAGCAGAGCAGGCAUCAGAGCAGGCAGCAGAUGAUGGUGCCAAAGGUGCUGGCACUUCUCAGGCCAUGCUGGAUGCCAAGAGCAGCAAAGAGAGGGCCCGCUCCACCAGGAAAGGGGGCAGCUUCCUGCCCUGCUGUCUUUCCUCUUCUACCUCCAGUGCUGUUCUGACAGAUCAGCAGGAAGAAAAGAAAGACAUCGCUGAGAGAGACACUGUGGCAGUGGCAGGCAAGGAGCCUGUGAGCACAUCAUUGCCUGGGGCAGAGUCCCUGCCUCCAGCAUCUCCAGUGCCUGGAAACCUUCAGCGCAAGGUGGACAGCCUGGAGAUCGGGGACACAGUCAGCCACAGCAGCAUCUCAGGGGAGGGGAGAGAGCCUCUGCCAACUUGUGGAACAUCCCUGGAUGUCCCUGCACACCUUCUCAAGCCUGCACAUGCCACACACAAGUACUACAACUUAACAUCCAUAAGGCGUCCCGUAGCCACCAGAAAAACCAGCAGGUCCAUGGCAGCGCGCACCCAACAGCAUUAAGGAAACACCAGCACAAGCAGCCCAAGUGCUGGCCCCCCAGACUGGGAGCAGCCCCACAUGUCGGAUACCACCAGCUCCCAGUGCUUAUCUUUCCUGUUUGUGUACACAUUGCUUCUCACCUAGCAUUUAGAUGACCAUCCCGUACAGGGAUUCCUAAUUUGGCUAAAUCUGGCUUUUCAAUCUGGAACUGAAGAAGCAGUAUAUGUAUUCUCUACAGCACAGAUAACAUACUUUGCUUCCUCUGUUCCUCUGAUUUCGGUUUCCAAAAGUACAAUAAAAUUAUUGAGUUCCAUUUUAAAUUUUCCA
ensembl:lncRNA uncharacterized LOC107306635